UACGAAGGGGGCUAGCGUUGCUCGGAGUCACUGGGCGUAAAGCGCACGUAGGCGGCUUCUUAAGUCAGGGGUGAAAUCCUGGAGCUCAACUCCAGAACUGCCUUUGAUACUGAGGAGCUUGAGUCCGGGAGAGGUGAGUGGAACUCCGAGUGUAGAGGUGAAAUUCGUAGAUAUUCGGAAGAACACCAGUGGCGAAGGCGGCUCACUGGCCCGGUACUGACGCUGAGGUGCGAAAGCGUGGGGAGCAAACAGG
rnacentral:rRNA from 1 species